rnacentral:rRNA from 1 species
AUGCAAGUCGAGCGGCAGCGGAAAGUAGCUUGCUACUUUGCCGGCGAGCGGCGGACGGGUGAGUAAUGUCUGGGAAACUGCCUGAUGGAGGGGGAUAACUACUGGAAACGGUAGCUAAUACCGCAUAACGUCGCAAGACCAAAGAGGGGGACCUUCGGGCCUCUUGCCAUCAGAUGUGCCCAGAUGGGAUUAGCUAGUAGGUGGGGUAACGGCUCACCUAGGCGACGAUCCCUAGCUGGUCUGAGAGGAUGACCACCCACACUGGAACUGAGACACGGUCCAGACUCCUACGGGAGGCAGCAGUGGGGAAUAUUGCACAAUGGGCGCAAGCCUGAUGCAGCCAUGCCGCGUGUAUGAA